CGAAUGCUUUCUUCAUUCUCUGCUGAUAUAACUGACCAUGACAUGUGGCAGUUAAUCUCUUCUUUUCGAUCAGAUUCACUUGGUCGUAACGACUCUGAAUCCAUUCAGCAUCAGUCAACUUGGGGUUUGAGGUGCUAUUUUUCUUUUGUUUCUUUCUUUCUUUUGAUUUUGAUUUUUUUCACCCUCCUCUUUCUUUUUUUU
rnacentral:lncRNA from 1 species